rnacentral:misc_RNA from 1 species
AACGCACAUUGCGCCCCUUGGUAUUCCGGGGGGCAUGCCCGUUCGAGCGUCAUUACACCCCUCAAGCAUAGCUUGGUUUUGAGGCCCGCGGUCCGCCGCGCCCUCUGAAUUCAACCGGCUGGUCUUGUGGUCUCUCAGCGUUGUGGUAACCUAUCCGCUUGCGAGUCGGGGGGCGUCUGGCCGUUAAACUCACUCAAAGGUUGACCUCGGAUCAGGUAGGGAUACCCGCUGAACUUAA